AUUUAAAUAGUUUAAUUAACAACAUUACACUUUCAAUGUAAAGAUAAAUUCAAAAUUUUUAAAUU
rnacentral:tRNA from 1 species